rnacentral:rRNA from 1 species
AUACGUAGGUGGCGAGCGUUAUCCGGAUUUACUGGGCGUAAAGGGUGCGUAGGCGGAUAUUUAAGUCAGAUGUGAAAUUCCCGGGCUCAACCUGGGAAGUGCAUUUGAAACUGGGUAUCUAGAGUGCAGGAGAGGGAAGCGGAAUUCCUAGUGUAGCGGUGAAAUGCGUAGAUAUUAGGAAGAACACCAGUGGCGAAGGCGGCUUCCUGGACUGUAACUGACGCUGAGGCACGAAAGCGUGGGGAGC